rnacentral:SRP_RNA from 1 species
UCUAUAAAAUUAAAAGCAAACCCAGCUACUCAGGAGGCUGAGGCAGGAGGAUCACUUCAGCCAGAGUUCUAGGGUAUAAUGAGCUAUGCCAAUUGGGUGUCUGCAGUAAGUUUGGCAUCAAUAUGGUAAUCUCUUAGGAAUGGGGGGCCACCAGGUUGCCUACGGAGGGGUGAACUGGCCCAGAUGAGAAAUAAAGCAAUUCAAAAUUCCUGUGCUGAUCAGUAGUGGGCUCGCACCUGUGAAUAGCCCCUCCAGCCUGGGCAACAUACCAAGACCCUGUCUCU